CGAUCCCUGGCCUUGCUCAGUGGGUUAAGGAUCCGGCAUUGCCGUGAGCUGUGGUGUAGGUCGCAGACUCGGCUUGGAUCCCGUGUUGCUGUGGCUGUGGUGUAGGCCGGUGGCUACAGCUCUGAUUCGACCCCUAGCCUGGGAACCUCCAUAUGCCAUGGGAAGCAGCCCUAGAAAAGGCAAAAAGACAAAAAAAAAAAAAAACAAACAAAAAACAAACAAACAAAAAAAAACUGCAUUACCACAUAUUAUAUGACUGCAGAUAUGACGCCCAAUGAUGGUGUAAUAGAAUGAAUGAAAAUCAUGAAAAUCAAAAUCAACUUUUAUUGAGCAUCUAUAUAAGCCAGACUUGUGCUGUCUGCCAUCAUUUGGCACAGUGAGAUGAUUUCAGAGGGGAACCGAGUUCCACAGCAUGUCUAGUAUUGCUGGAAAGGGAGCGGGAAACUGCAUUUCACUUAUAUGCUAAGAAGAGAACACCUAAAAGAGAAUAGAUGACUUAAAUGCAAUUCUCCCUGGAGGGAAGAGAUGGACUAGAAAUACUCUCUAGUAUGCAUAGUUUAAAAAUUCUUGAAUUAGGAGUUCCUAUCAUGGCUCAGUGGAAAGAAAUCUGACUAGCAUCCAUGAGGACGCAGGUUCGAUCCCUGAGCCACAAAGGGAACUCCAACGAGAUAAUUUUAAAAGCUAAAGAGUCUGAGGAAAUUUACUCCCAGUGUUUUGUGGAAAACCAGAAGGAAACUUCUAUAACUAUACUUAUAUAUUUAUAUUUACACAGGAAAGUGCUUUAAAAAACUGUAUAUGUGAUAUAUGUGGUUAUAAUAAUGCUUUUUUUUUUGGCUUCACCUGUGGCGUGCGGAAGUUCCUGGGUCAGGGAUCGAACCUGCACCACAGCAGCAACCUGAGCCACCACAGCCACCAACACUGGAUUCCCCAACCCACUGUGCCGCAAGAGAAUUCCAUGGUGCAUUUUUAAAACUAAUGAUUACGCAAAAAAAAAAAAAAAAAAAAAGUUCUGUUUGAUAUUUGUUCAAUUGUGUAAGUAUUAUAUUCUUUUUAUUACUACUUAGUAUACCUACACUAAUGCUUUGUGUCUACCACUAAAGGUAGUAGGAAAUAUUUUUAUUAACUAUGAUAGAUCAAAAUUACCUCUGCAAGUUUAAGAAAGUGACCUAGGAAUAACAUUCACAGAAAAACUUUAUGUGCUAGCAUUUGAAUAUAUGAACUGGUAGUUUCAUGGAUGGUUAUUUUUAUUAUAAAAAUAUUUUUUAAUUUGCAAAGGGGUUUAUAAUAGAGAUUGGUUAUUUAUUUAUUUAUUUAGACUUUUGUCUUUUUAGGGCUGCAACCGCAGCAUAUGGAGGUUCCCAGGCUAGGGGUCUAAUCGGAGCUGUAGCCCCCGGCCUACACCACAGCCACGGCCACAGCCACAGCAAUGCAGGAUCCCCACCGCGUCUGCAACCUACACCACAGCUCAUGCCAACGCCGGAUCCUUAACCCACUGAGGGA
rnacentral:lncRNA from 1 species